CCUACGGGUGGCAGCAGUGAGGAAUAUUGGUCAAUGGGCGCUAGCCUGAACCAGCCAAGUAGCGUGAAGGAUGACUGCCCUAUGGGUUGUAAACUUCUUUUAUAUGGGAAUAAAGUGCAGUAUGUAUACUGCUUUGCAUGUACCUUAUGAAUAAGGAUCGGCUAACUCCGUGCCAGCAGCCGGGGUAAUACGGAGGAGCCGAGCGUUAUCCGGAUUUAUUGGGUUUAAAGGGAGCGUAGGCGGGUUGUUAAGUCAGUUGUGAAAGGUUGCGGCUCAACCGUAGAAUUGCAGUUGAUUCUGGCAUCCUUGAGUACAGUAGGGGUGGGCGAGAUUCGUGGUGUAGCGGUGGAAUGCUUAGAUAUCGCGAAGGACUCCGGUUGCGGAGGCAGCCUGCUGGACUGUAAAUGACGCUGAUGCUCGAAAGUGUGGGUAUCAAACAGGAUUAGAUACCCCUGGUAGUC
rnacentral:rRNA from 1 species